ensembl:lncRNA
CUUUUAAGCUCUCCUAGACUUAGGUGCUACUUUUAGUCCUAAAAUACUUUGUGAAUUGCUCUUAGUGAAAAAAGUUAGGAGUCCUAAAUUUAAGAGUGACACGCCCAUUAUUUUUAGGAGUUACUCCUAAAUUCGCCAGUUAGGACCUACUUUUAGCCCUAAGAUCCUUUGUGAAUACGGCCCCAGGGUUUGAAGCACGUAUCGAAGCUUCAGUGUCACACUGCCAUCACUGAUCAGUGUGUUCUUUCUGAUUAGCUCUUAAUUGAGAUCACCUGUCACGCACGCCUUUAUUAAAGGUGAACACAAUGGGUUUGGUUUACUUUUCGCAUCGGCCUGUGUCAAUCGAGGUUGAGUUUAGUGAGGGUUGAAAGUUUUCGAUCUAGAUUGCCGAUCACUAUUGUCACUUUAUACAAACUGAAAGUAUGCGUUGUUGCGUGUUUGUUUUUGUGGGCAUUUGACUGAACAGCCCAGACAAAUAUUGCUACCAACAUGGAACUUCGAAACAGACCACCGCAGUGAGUAAGUUAUUUUCCUUUUAUUAAAUGUUGACGUUUUUGGGCUGUCUCCUCAGACACAAGCCAUCAGUAUCCCUGCUCUUUGCACCUUGACAUGCAUGUCACCGCUGUUUUUUAACCUAGCUUUGCUGAUUUGUAUCUUGUGAUGUGUGUGUGUUUUUCUUAACAGGUGUUAGAUGACUGACAAGAUCUAUGGGGGGGCCCCCUUUGGGCCCCCCCAUACCAACUUAGUCUUCAAAGGAAUCUAGUGCCAUGGGACUCCAGUGUCUUCAAAACAUCCUCGGAAUACAUGUGUAUGAAUGGUCCACCGAAGGGUUGAUCUGGAAGCUACCACGGUCCACGCAGUAAUCUGCUGCGUGGGCCGUAGUGGCUUCCAGAGCCAUCUUUCGGUCUUGGUCAGGAUUUGUUAGUUGCCCUUCAAUGUAGCAGGCUACGGGUUUCUGAAGAAGCCUGCUUUACGUAGCAUUGGAGUACAAAUAUUGUGCAAAAUGCUCAUGUAAUUGCACUAGCACUGGUAACCUGUAGAUUAGCUUAGUUUAACGCCAUUCAGUGCCGUCUGUCAAAUGUGUGGCUUACUUUAAGUCCUGGUAAACCACGUUGGAACACCCCUGGACAAGGUGAUUAGUCACUGGGUGUGUGCUAAAGUUUUGUUCCAUUUUUCACUAGUUGGUUAAGGUUUGGUAGAAUUGUUUGGAUGCUAGCGACGUGAUGGCGUAUGUACAAGAGCCUACCGUGGCCAGGCCACAGUUGCGACGGCCACGGCCAGAUGGCCUAGUGUGAGUGCAACCUUGAUUGCAUUUGUAUACUGUUUACCAUUGGAUGUUUAUGCAAUUUGGCUUAAUUCAUCCGCUGUAAAGCUGCAUUUGACUAUUCCAGGGUCGUUUUGUACAGGCUUUCAAUUGACCAUGUUGACUAGUUUGUGGGAAGUUUUUUUUUUACCCUUGCUUACAAUCCAACGGUUGCGACCACUUAUGCAACUGGGCUGUGAACCUUGCAAUUCUAGUUGCAUAUUUGUACACGCAAGCUUGUCCAUUUCUAUCUCCAUCACUAACACUAGCUUCAGCAUUUCCUUGUAGGCCAUUAGCUGACUUGUGUAUUGGAGCGAUGAUUUGGGUAUUUUAAGAUGCUUGAAAACCUAAAAUAAAGCAAAAUGCGUGUCUGGUGUGCAAGAGCCAAUUUGUUGGAUUGCAGUAGUCGAGGAGUGGCCGUAGGUCGUAAGCCAUCUGGAGGUUGUGGCAAUGGAGACUUGUGGUAGAUCUGCCAUCCAAGAAAGGGGGACUUGACUGGUGAGUCUACUGGAUUAAUCAGUAGCGGUACUUUGCCCAACAGAUUUGAUGGCAUGACGACAGGUUGGUGGUUCAACACUGAUGUCUCUCUAGGCUUGAGGGAGAGCUCACAAGAAAAUUACACGAAUGUCCUGGAGCAAUUGGGAAUACACUUUUAUUUAGUCUACCUGACCAGGGACAUCUUUGAACUAUAGGUCACCUAACACAAACUUUUCACUCUUGUUAGGUUGUCCUUUUCUCUUGUUUUAACCCGAAAGGGCUGAAAAUAUUAACAUUUCAGGUAUUCUGUUUGGAUAAUGUGCAAAACCUGUGGCUUCACUAAUAAAAAAAAAUAACGAAUGUAUUUUUCUUAAUGUGGUUAAACUAUUUAAAGAUUUGUAUGCAAAAUAUUUCUGCUCAAUUUGUGGUCAAAGAAACUCAAAUUUUUUAAUUUGAUAAAACACAACUAUGGGUUAAGGUAUUUGCUUUGGGCAUCUUUUUUGAUAUUUUUAGAAUCUAGCUCCAUUGCCGUUAGAAAUGGUGUCUCCCAGUACUGCAAAGUGCUUCCACAAGUUUAAAAAAUGGGCAGAAAAGGAACUGCCAACUAAAUCUAUUUAACAUGGGUAGAAAGUUUCCAUGGAAGCUCUUGGCUGCUGGUUCUCAACACAGCUCCACUGUUAGCCUGUGACCUUGCGUUUAACUUUUUUGGACUUUUGGUGACUUUCACAAAAGAGAAAUUAACUGGUUAAUACAAUAAACAAGACAUUUGAAACUUCAGCUACAUUUUUAUCUAUUUGUACUGCCUUUGAUUUCAACCCGUGACAUGUUUGUCAGGUGAUAACUAUGUACCUGUGACCGCAUAUCAUGGUACCAUUUUGAACUGUUGUGGAUAUUGCAUUAAAUCCAUAUGCUUGAAACUUUUCAAUAAUGCAUAUCAACGAAACAAUGGAAUGAAAUAAAUAGUUCAAGCAAUUUGUGGGACUUGGCUGCUUUUACAUUUUUACUCAUGGGGGUUAUUUCAGUCUCUCCAACCUGCAGGUCGUGCGAAGAAUCAUGUGAAUGGGAAUAUUCUAUAAAUGUCUUUAUCAUCUUUCGUCUCAACACUUCUGCUGCAGCCGCUUAAAGUCUCACUCCGAGAACCUUAAAAUAUGAAUCAAUC